UACGUAGGGAGCAAGCGUUGUCCGGAAUCAUUGGGCGUAAAGCGCGCGUAGGUGGCCUCAUAAGUCCGCUGUGAAAGUCCAAGGCUCAACCUUGGAAAGCCGGUGGAUACUGUGAGGCUAGAGUACGGAAGAGGCGAGUGGAAUUCCUGGUGUAGCGGUGGAAUGCGCAGAUAUCAGGAGGAACACCAAUUGCGAAGGCAGCUCGCUGGGACGUUACUGACGCUGAGACGCGAAAGCGUGGGGAGCAAACAGG
rnacentral:rRNA from 1 species